UACAGAGGGUGCAAGCGUUAAUCGGAAUUACUGGGCGUAAAGCGUGCGCAGGCGGCUAUGCAAGACAGAUGUGAAAGCCCCGGGCUCAACCUGGGAACUGCAGUCGAAACUGCAAAGCUUGAAUGUUGGAGAGGUUGGGGGAAUACCUAGUGGAGAAGUGAAAUUCGUAGAGAUUAGGUGGAACACCAGAGGCGAAGGCGCCUGACUGGCCAAACAUUGACGCUAAGGCGCGAAAGCGUGGGUAGCAAACAGG
rnacentral:rRNA from 1 species